rnacentral:rRNA from 1 species
UACGUAGGGUGCGAGCGUUGUCCGGAAUUAUUGGGCGUAAAGAGCUCGUAGGCGGUGUGUCACGUCGGCCGUGAAAACCUGCAGCUUAACUGUGGGUGUGCGGUCGAUACGGGCAUCACUGGAGUUCGGCAGGGGAGACUGGAAUUCCUGGUGUAGCGGUGAAAUGCGCAGAUAUCAGGAGGAACACCGAUGGCGAAGGCAGGUCUCUGGGCUGACACUGACGCUCAUGCACGAAAGCGUGGGGAGCAAACAGG